CCCCCUGUAGCCCAAUCGGCAGAGGCAGUCGACUUAAAAUCGAUUCAGUGUGGGUUCGAGUCCCACCAGGGGGACAA
rnacentral:tRNA from 1 species